UACGUAGGUGGCAAGCGUUGUCCGGAUUUACUGGGCGUAAAGAGCGCGCAGGCGGUCGAUUUAGUCGUGUGUGAAAGCCCCCGGCUCAACUGGGGAGGGUCACGCGAUACUGAUCGACUCGAAGGCAGGAGAGGGAAGUGGAAUUCCCGGUGUAGUGGUGAAAUGCGUAGAUAUCGGGAGGAACACCAGUGGCGAAGGCGGCUUUCUGGGCCUUACCUGACGCUGAGACGCGAAAGCGUGGGGAGCGAACCGG
rnacentral:rRNA from 1 species